rnacentral:lncRNA from 1 species
CAAGUGGAAUUUUUUGCCUCUAUAUAUCUCACUGCCAGUGGAAGUGGAAUUGGAAUUGCGGUCAGCUUCUUCAUUCAAACCUGGUGCAUCACAGAAAUAGGUCCUCUAUACUGCGCAAUGUUCAAACCUCUAAGCAACAGUCAUCAAGGCUUUGAUAAGUGUUACAAGAAGAGCUAUAUUUUGGAAGAAAGCAUAAGGCUGCUAGAUUAGAUGUUCGCACCAAUGUCACAUCCUCUAGGCUUGAUGUUAUCAUAUCUAUUUACAGGAUUGCAGUUGUUGGCAUUCUGAUGGAAACUGAAGUUGCAGACAAUUGGUUGAGUGGUCUGCAUUGAAGAGAACUAACUGUUAAAGUAUGGUUGUUAUAUUUUUUUGGAGUAAUAAUAGAGCAUUCUAAACAAUCAGAGGACACAUUCUCGUACACAUUUUAAACGAAAAUCAAGUAUGAUUCAGCAUAAUUCCAAGUAAAUGGCACUCAAUGGGUAGAAUGUAACAUUAUGGGCAUUUCAGUUACAAUAAGCUAAAGGGCAGCAAUCAUGAGGUAAUCAAAAUAAAGUCAGAAAGGUGAUUCAGCCAUGGGUUAUCAACAGACAGAAUUCCAAAAGUAGCAAUAAAAGAGAUAUAUAUAUAUCAGAAACUCCUACCUGUUAAGCUCUCCCAAUUUUCAGUUAAACAUCAUCAUUAUCAACAUAAAGGAGAGUAUUCAUGGGCAGCCUUAAAGGAGAAUAAAAAACUGAAGCAAUCGAGAAAGUCUUUCAGUUACAUCAAUAAUCAGCAUAAAAGAAUAACCAGGAGAGUAGAGAGGGUCUAUCAUACACGGUUAUCAAAAAAAGGGAACUCACAACCAGAGAGAGCAGAUCACACAGUGAUAAAAACAGCAAGCCGAAAGUAACACAGAAAAGGGAGAGAGAUAAGAUUUAUGAGAUAGAGAAAUUAUUAUAAAAAGCAAAGCAUAAGUGUAGGCAUAGUUCUGUCAGAUUACACAAAAGCAAGAAGGGACAUAAAAAGCAAACAGCUAGAGGAAAGAGAUUGACACCUAUUUGAGGCAGGGACAACAAAGUUACAUAUAGAGUUCGCAUCAGGUAAUAAUUUGUCCGGCUUUAUUCAGGUAUUAAUCCUAAGUUAUAAGUCCAUAUAGUUAUUUUAUAUGAAUCAUGCUCAUUUAGUCAUACAGAAAAAUAUAUAUUCAAGUUUGAGUAAGAACGAAAACAAAAGUAUAUUGCGAAAACCUGAAAAUAGUUUGAGAGUAUGAUUGAAUAUUCACUGGGUUGUUAUCUUUAAGCAUCCACAUUACCAAACAAGCUAGACAUUUAAAAGAAGUAAGUGAAGAUAGUCACCAUUCCUUAAUAAGCUUCCUUACCCGCAUGGAUUCCGAACCUCAACCACUGAGAUCCCUAAUGUAACCUUCAUUGGCCGUAUGUACCCUUCUCCCAUGUCUUAACAAGUUGCUGUAAAAAUUCUAAAAAACACAUACCCACAUUCAGAACAGUAACCACCUUAAGCCACCCGAAGUGAGAACUGAACCACCGUAAACCAUUAUCUCAGGAGAUACCGUCCUUUCAUCGCGAGUCCAUUAAGCCACCUCGAUUCGAACCUCAAACCACCGCACCUCACCAUAACCCUCGCAUCAUCGCCAUUAAACGAAGAAGAAAGAAGAGUGGAGGUUGCAGAAAGGAGACAUGGAGAAUUAGGGGUUUACCCCUGACCGUGAGUCCUACGAUGAUUGGGCUCGGUCCUUGGCCACCACCGGUGCUCUAUAGCCGGAGUCAUGUUGUAGAAUAAAUAAGGAUGAAGACCACAACCUUCUCUCUACGGUGCUCGGUACUCACCGGAAUUGAAGGUCUGCAACCUCCGUCCUUUAUUGCGCCACCUCCUUGGCUACUGCUUUGAAAGAGAAGAGAGGGUUGAGGGAUUAGGGAUUUCAAUCCCCUUUUUCCCUUCCAACUUAUGUUUCACGUGAAACAGUAGGGAGACCCCUUUCUUUGUUAAUACCUUUUAUUAUUACUUUUUAUUAUUUCUAUUUUUUUGUCUAAAUCCUAUAUUUGUUUGAUGCGUUAUCUUUUUAAAUCCCUUUAUACUGACUCCUUAAGUCACAGCCUUAGUAAUUAUAUAGCAAUUGGCAUAUUUCCCAUGAUGCAUCCUAUGAAUUAUACUANNNNNNNNAAGUAUAUACUCUACCACUGCAGGCUGUUACAUUUUGAGUCAUUAUUAAAUGUAAAAAGGAGAGAAAAAUGAUUCAGCCGAGAAUCCUAAUCAGUAGAAUUGNNNNNNNNNNNNNNNNNNNNNNNNNNNNNNNNNNNNNNNNNNNNNNNNNNNNNNNNNNNNNNNNNNNNNNNNNNNNNNNNNNNNNNNNNNNNNNNNNNNNAUCCAAAGGUUAUACAUGAAAGAAGCGGUGGUAAACCAGAGGAUAUGUCCCUUGUAGUUACACAUACACACAGUUAUAAUCAGCAUAAAUGGCAGCAUUCAUGAGAAACCUUAAUGCAGUAAAACAGAGAGCAAAAAGCCAUGUACGUUGCUGAAUCUUAAGGAGCAACCCAAGAGGUUUUCACAUAGAAACCUUAAAGCAUUAUAAAAAGGGCAGAAAUAAUCAGGGGAGAGAAAACAAAAAUCACUGAGGACAACACAAUCAUAAAAAAUCAGAGAGAGAAGACAAGAGAACCAGAAAAACACAUAUUGCAAUAGGGACUACGAUNNNNNNNNNNNNNNNNNNNNNNNNNNNNNNNNNNNNNNNNNNNNNNNNNNNNNNNNNNNNNNNNNNNNNNNNNNNNNNNNNNNNNNNNNNNNNNNNNNNNCUGAUAUCACACCACACACAACAAAUCAGUCAGCACACAGAAAAAGAAAUCAGAAACAUUGCAACUGAAAAAGGGAGGACAAUCAAAAACAGAGCAAAAAAACUGGUCAUAUAGCAGCAUAAGUACAAAGAAAAAGAGAUAUAAGAGAUACACACAAAAGGAGAGAGAAACGGAAAAGAGAGAUAUCACAAACAUGCACCUACUAGUCACAGAUACAUCAUCAUAAAAAUCAAGAGGGGGACUCUGUGAGAAAAGAGAACACAAAAAUAGGAAAGAUCAAGCAAAUACACAACAGUCCAAACACACACAGAGGCAUGAACCAGAGAACAAAAGGCAGGAACUAGAGAACAAAAGGCAGGAACCAGAGAACAAAAGUAGGAACUCAACAGGAAGUCAGUAAAAGCAUCGUGUAGAUAAGAACACAUUCAGGUAAAGCAACUGUCAUUUUCAUUACAUAAUUACGAGUAAAAUACUCUUAGGAGAGCCUAUUCCUCAUAAAGAUUACAUACACCCAUGCCAAUUGGAUGCAUAUGAUAAUCACAAAUAAUCCUCUCAGCUUGUUCUCAAUAAAUUAACAUACUAUCUUAUUAUCAUAUGCAUGUCACCCCUUAAUUUAAGCACCGAAAAAUACAUAAAAGCAAAUAAAAAGGAGAUACGUUGCCUUACGGGUUCUCCUCACCUCAACCGCAUGACCUAUGGUUCCAAUGGUCAUCUUCUUCACCCAUACUGUGAUUCUCGCAUUUGGGGAUAUUAGGAAUCCCUUGAGCACCGCAACCCCGUCCAGAAAUCCCGCAUGCAGGAGAGACAUAAGGGUAAGUCAACAUCCCCAAAUUAAUCCUAACAAUUUCGGAAAUUAUUAGUCGAGGAGAAUAGCUGAAUCCCUACCUUACUCUGGUGACCGCCGCGAAAAUAAGAACCCCGAAUAGGAAAACCACCGUACCCCAACCUAACCACCGCGUCAUCACCAUUAAUCCCAGCAUUCGCAAGCCUUGCCGCCGCUGCUCUACCGGCAUGAACCAAACCUCCGUGCAGUUUUCUCCAUCGAAUUUGUCGUGAUCAUAUCGCUGAAUGAGGAUUAGAAUGAAGAAGAGAAGCCUUAUAAGAAGAAGAAGGAGGAAGAAUUGAAAAGUAGGGAUUCAGAUUCCCUUUUCUUUUUGCAGCUGGAGGUAUGCGUGAAUUGGGGGAACCCUGUUUAGGGAUUUCAUUCCCUUGUUCUUCUCAUUACGUGAAAAAUGGAAGAGGAUACCCCUUUUCCUCCUUUCCUUUCCUUUAUUUUUUUUUAUUUUUUUUUAGGUAACUGUGCUAUUUCUAGUAUUUAUUUUCUCCUAAUAAAUGUCAAUUAUUCUUGACAUAUACACGGUCAUUCAUGACUUUAGGUAAUUAUUUCAAUCUGUUAGCAAAGAAAAAUAAUAAAUAAAUAAGGUUACGGUUAUUAUCAAAUUCAACUAUAUUAUCAAAUUAAUCAUGGAUUUUUAUAGUAAGGUUACAGUUCGAGUUGUCUCNNNNNNNNNNNNNNNNNNNNNNNNNNNNNNNNNNNNNNNNNNNNNNNNNNNNNNNNNNNNNNNNNNNNNNNNNNNNNNNNNNNNNNNNNNNNNNNNNNNNUAGUAAGGUUAUGGUUCGAGUUGUCUCUAACUUCUUUGAAAACGAGAAGAAUGUCUACAACCAACACUGUCUCUAAACUAUUAAUUUUAUAUAUAUAAUUAAUAAACUAUUUUAUUACUAAAAUCCUAUAUCUAUAAAUAAUUAAAAACUAUUUUACCAUUACCGAAUAAAUUGGGAUUUUAUAGUGAGGUUAUGGUUCGAGUCGUCUCUAACUCCCCAGAAAUAAGGAGAAGGUCUACGACCAACACCGUUCCUGAACUAUUAGUCUCAUUGAACCAAACAAUUAUAUAUUAAUCAAUUCAAUAAAUUAACAUUUUUAAACCUAUCGGUAUUUUCUAAAUCACUAACAAUCAACCAAAGUAGCUAAAUAAUUUUCGAACUAGAACUACGUAAGCCUUGAUCUCCUUAACAGGGGUACGUAGGACCAAAGUCAAUAUUGCCAGGCUCAAUAAUAAAAAUCAAUAAUAAAAAUAAAUAAUGGUUAAGGGUAUAAAAGUCCAUGUUAUUAGCGAGGGUACCGUUUUAAUACGGGCGGACGGGGUGCUAAUACCUUCCCUGGUCCGUAAUCGACUCCCGAACUCAGAAUCUAUGCUUAAAGACCAUAUUAUCCUAAUUGGGCGUAUUAGAGUUUUCUACGUUUUAACCGCAAAAAACGUAGUGGCGACUCCAAAUCAAUCGGGAGAGGUAGAAAUCGAGUUCGCCUCCUCCCAAGUCGUAGAGCCGGUCUUCCAACCGAAAAUCGGGUCGCGACACUCCAUAACCUCCAUAAUCCUAUUUCCAAUUCUUCUCUAGAGCCUAACUUUAGAUGAGAUGUUUAUUCGUACCAUCUUCAUGGAUUAACUUUCCAUAGGAUUUUUCUUUUGAGUUUUUGUUUGUAUGUACCCUAACUUUUGCGUAGGAUUUUAUUGAAAUUCCUAGUGGGCUUUUCUUCUUAUAGUAUCAUCCUUUAUGUUGGGCUCUGUGAAUGUUUAUUGGAAAACUACCCUUUCCCCAGGUUCACAAUAUUUUAAAGGUGUUUCUUUCUCGAAUGAACUUCUUUCAUAUCGUCUUGGCUCAAAGGGGUGACGAGGGAUAUCUUCUUAGUGUUUUGGAAUAUCAAGAACCUUGUGUCAUCAAGAUGACCUGUCUGAGGUCUACACCAUACGGGCUUUGUUUACAUCAUUCUCCCUCAUGCAAAACGGUAAAUAAAAACAUUGCGAUCGAUGCAUGAAUGUUCUUUUUUCUUUUUCUUUUUCUUCUUUUUUUUUUCUUUUCUCUUUUUUUUGUUUCGUUUUGGAAGUACCCUCUAGCCAUAAUCUUUCUUUACUGCAUCUGAAUUUAUGGUGAGAAGCAGAUAUUCCCCAUCCAUGUCUGUUAGGAUUAGGGCCCGCCAGAAAAAGCUUAAUUAAGUACGUAGGGACCCGCAUAAUUUGGAGCCCACUUUCCUCGGCUGUCCUUCUGGAUUGGCAAGAUCUUCUUUAGCACCAAAUCUCAUUCCCUGAACUGGCGUGGCCGGACCUUCUUUGCAUAUGCCUUCAUCAUUCUUUUUUGGUACAAUUGUCCAUGACAUACUGCAGUUAGCCUCCGACCAUCUAUCAUAUUCAAUUGAUCUUUUCUAGCUUGAACCCAUUCCGACUCUUUCAGACCAGCCUCCGCUAAUACUCUUAGAGAUGGGAUUUCUACCUCAAGUGGAAGAAUAGCUUCCAUACCAUAAACCAAGGAGUAUGGAGUAGCCCCCGUAGAAGUGCGGACUGAAGUACGAUAACCAUGUAGGGCGAAUGGUAGCAUUUCGUGCCAAUCCUUGUAAGUCACAACCAUCUUCUGGACUAUCUUCUUGACAUUCUUAUUGGCUGCUUCCACGGCUCCAUUCAUUUUGGGUCUAUAUGGCGAGGAUGUAUGAUGUUUUAUUUUGAAUUUCUCGCACAUCUCGGUCAUCAUUUUGUNNNNNNNNNNNNNNNNNNNNNNNNNNNNNNNNNNNNNNNNNNNNNNNNNNNNNNNNNNNNNNNNNNNNNNNNNNNNNNNNNNNNNNNNNNNNNNNNNNNNGCUAGUCUUCUGAGUGUUCUUUUGUCAUUUUCUGAAACAUUGGGGACAAAGUUGCCAAUGCAUCGGCCAACCUAUUGUCUUCUCUAGGGAUGUGAUAGAAAUCUACUUGGUCGAACUGGUUAACCAACUUCAGGAUGUGGUCCCUAUAAGGCUCCAAUUUGCUAUCCCGAGUUUCCCAUUCUCCUUUUAUCUGAUGGAUUACUAGAGCCGAAUCCCCAAAUACUUCUAGGACUUUGGCUUUUGAGUCAAUAGCGGUCUUUAGUCCCAAAAUGCAUGCCUCAUACUCUGUCACAUUAUUAGUACAGUCGAAACAUAGUCUAGCAGUAAAAGGAAGGAACUUCCCUAUUGGAGACACCAAAACAGCCCCUACUCCAUGUCCAAAUGCAUUGGAGGCCCCAUCAAAGACUAGGGUCCAUUCUUCUUGUUCUCUUGAUUCAUCGGAUAAGGCCAUGAUAUCUUCAUCUGGAAAUUCAUACCUCAAAUGCCCCAGUUUAUUUAAGGGUUGGUUCGCCAAGUAGUCAGCAAUAACACUUUCCUUUAUCGCCUUUUGUGUCACAUAGGCGAUGUCAUAUUCAGAUAAUAAUACCUGCCAUUUGGCAAUUCUUCCUGUGAGUACAGGCUUCUUGAAAAUAUACUUGAUAGGAUCCAUUUUUGAUAUCAACCUAGUGGUAUGACUCAACAUGUACUGUCUUAGCCAGCGAGAGGCCCAAACUAAGGCACAACAAGUCCAUUCUAAAGAGGAGUAUUUUAUCUCGCAAGCUGUGAAUUUCUUGCUAAGGUAGUAUAUAGUUUGCUCUUUUCUUCCACUGUCAUCAUGUUGCCCCAAGACGCAACCCAUUGAUUUGUCAAGUACAGUGAGGUAUAGAAUCAAGGGUCGCCCUGGAAUUGGAGGCAUUAGUACCGGAGGUUCUGUCAAGUAUUGCUUUAUCUUUUCAAAUGCCGAUUGACAGUCAUUGUUCCACUUCACCGCGUGAUUCUUUCUUAGAAGCUUGAAUAUAGGCUCACAUGUGGAAGUUAGUUGGAAAAUGAACCUAGAAAUGUAAUUCAAUCUUCCCAAGAAUCCCCUGACUUCUUUUUCUGUUCGAGGUGAUGGCAUUUCGAUUAUGGCUUUCACCUUUUCCAGAUCUACCUCGAUACCAUUUUGGCUGACUAUGAAACCCAAGACUCGGCCUGAUUUCACUCCAAAGCUACACUUGGUUGGAUUUAACUUAAGCUGAUACUUCCGUAGUCUCUCAAACAGACGCCUCAAGUUGUUUCGUGCUCUCCUUCUAUCUUGGACUUACAGAUAAUGUCAUCCACGUAGACCUCUAUCUCCUUGUGCAUCAUGUCAUGGAAAAGAGUAACCAUGACUCUUUGAUAUGUAGCAAUAGCAUUCUUUAAUCCAAAUGGCAUGACUUGGUAGCAAAAGGUACCCCAUGGGGUAAUUAACGUAGUCUUGUUUACGUCUUCUGGCGCCAUUUUGAUCUGAUGAUACCCAGAAUACCCAUCCAUGAACGAGAAAAGGGCAUGGUCGGCGGUGCUAUCAACCAAAACAUCUAUGUGUGGCACCGGAAAAUCAUCCUUUGGGCUAGCUUUGUUAAGAUCCCUGUAGUCAACACAUAUUCUCAACUUUCCUCCCUUUUUUGGUACAGCUACCAUGUUGGCUACCCAAUCUAGAUAUUCAGCAACUUUAACGAACCCAGCGAUCAACCAUUUUUCUCCCUCCUCUUUGACCCUUAAGGAGAUCUCUGACUUGAUUCUUCGUAAUUUCUGCUUUACAGGCCUAGAGUUUUUCAUUAGCGGUAGCUUGUGCUCUACUAUACUUCGAUCUAACCCUGGCAUUUCUUCAUAUGACCAUGCAAAGACGUCUUUGGAUUCAUGUAGAAGUCAAACUAGGCAUUCUCGCUCCUUACCAUCCAUUAUGGUGCCCACCCUCACUUCUUUCUUGUCUUCCUCAGAUCCUAGGUUGACAAGCUCGACAGGCUCUUGGUGUGGUUGAAUCUCUCUAGCUUCUUGCUCUACCAAUCUGGGCAGUUCGGGGGAGGCCUCCCAUUCAUCAUAAUCACCGUCGUUUUCCAAUUGGUGAAUUGGUUGGUCAGGGCUAGGUAAGGGCGCACUAGCAUGGCCCUCAGUUUCAAAGUCGCUAUCGGAUCUGCAAUGUGGGGAUGACUAGGUCAGAUCCCCAUGGAUUUGGUUUUUUAUUUUAUUUAUUUUUGUAUUUUGUCUUACUCUGAUCUUUUAACAUGUAAUAGAAGAAAAAAAAAUGCAAAAGAGACACAUAAAUCUGGUCGAAAAGAUUGAUCUUUAUUGAUUUAAAUGGAAAUACUAAAAUUAAUGAGUACUUAUAAUUGAAAAGAACAUAAAAUGAAAAAUGUCUAACAACCUUGGAUAUGGCUAAUAAUAAAAAAACUACAUAAAAUUAUUACUUCCAUUCUAAAGUAAUUGAUGCAUAUGACUCUUCAUGUCAGUUCCUCAAGCAGGUGCAUGGGGGACACCAGUACACGAACUCCGCUUCUUCUUCCCAUCCUUCUUCUUCCACGAUGGCCACCAUUCCAGAGGGUCCGGUACCGCAACUCACAAAGCACUGACUGAUGUGUGGUAUUGGAAUCUUUACCAUGUUCCCAAGUCCAAACUGCCCCAGCCGAGCCAGAUGCUCACCCUUCCUUGCUUCUAUGAUUCCAAGCCUGUCCUCCUUGGUAGGUCUAUACCCCAAGCCAUAUCUGCCUUUAUUAGCUUUCGGUAUAAUGAUCUCCUUAAUGCCUUGACCGUACUUUCCCAAUCCACUCCUAAGUUGAUAGCCUCCGUGGAUCAUCCCUUUUGCCAUCCUGAGAGAAACAUCUGAUGGAUAUGGUUUUAUUAAUGGUGCCCCUUCUAUCAUAACUGUAGUGUUUGCAAUUUCAAGACCUUGGAAAGAUGUUUCCAAUGCCUCCUCGGUUACUUCUAUGUAUCGAGUAUCAAAGGGCUGGGACACCAUGACAUCUUCUUCUCCUAAAACUGUUAUCAGCCUUCCAUCUACUAUGAAUUUCACUUUUUGAUGCAAGGUGGAGGGUAUUACCCCUGAAGAAUGAAUCCAAGGACAUCCCAACAAGCAGCUAUAUGUUGGAUUGAUGUCCAUCACGUGAAACAAUAUAUUGAAUGUGCAGGGCCCUAUCUUGAUUGGAAAAUCCAUUUCUCCCAUCACUUCUCUACGAGAUCCAUCAAAACCCUUGAGAAUCAUAGAGCUAGCUUUCAAGUAUGAAGUAUCAACUAGAAAUCUGGAGAAAGUUCUCCUCGUCAUAACGUUCAGUGACGACCCAUUGUCUAGGAGGAAUUUUCCAUGUUAGGUAUCAGUGGUUACAAUACACCUAGAAGGGGGGUUGAAUAGGUGUCGCGGUUAGAACUACCGCUUUUCAAAAAUCAACACUUAAUGCUGAAUCAAUCCUAUUUAAUCGAUUAAUGAAGGAAGAUAAUCGAUUAUUUGAACAAUCUUAAUCGAUUAAUAAAAAAAGGUUUUAAUCAAUUAACAGAAGCAAUUUUAAUCGAUUAACAGAAACAGGAUAAUCGAUUAACACAACAAUAUUAAUCGAUNNNNNNNNNNNNNNNNNNNNNNNNNNNNNNNNNNNNNNNNNNNNNNNNNNNNNNNNNNNNNNNNNNNNNNNNNNNNNNNNNNNNNNNNNNNNNNNNNNNNAUUUUUCAGUUUUUCAGUUCCAACAACUUAACAAAAAGUUAGGUUAAUCAAUUAACGUAAUGCCUUGAUCGAUUAAGAGCAUUUAAAAACGUGUUCCAGUAGCAACCACUUUUCACAGCAGUUGGGUUAAUCGAUUAAAGGUAUGGUUAAUCGAUUAACAGUAAAUAAAAUGUGUAUUUUAAAAUACAAAACAUCAAAUACGUUAUGCACUUAGUUAAUACAUGUUUAACACUUAGUUUAUGCCUGGAAUGCACAUAUACAUGUAUUUAUGUAAUGCAUGAACAUAUUAUGAAAUGACAUAUCUCAUGGAUGAAAUGAUUUAAAAGAUAUAUGCAUAUGAGACAUGUAUUAGGUGCCCUAAGCCUUGACUCAACUUAAACUAGAAUCUAGUCUAAGCCUAGUACCAAAAUAAAGACUUAAGCACGUUGAUUUGUUGGUGAUCUUCAAGCUCUUUUAGGCACAAGUUGUCCUCAUCAAAACCAUGACAUAUAAGGAGAGCUUUCCAAAGUGUUCCUCUUGACAUGCAUACUUUCAUUCCAAUCACAUAAUCAUUGCACAUAACUGAAAUAUACAGGGGGCGAACAUGACUGGUACCUUCAGCGGGUAUUUCUUCAUCACGAAAGGAUAUGUAGUUAUCUGCCACUAUGUUGGUGACUAUCCCAUCUAACUUGUCAGUCAUGAUGUCAUGGCUGACAUGGGCUUGAUUCAACACUUUUAAUAACACAUUCCUGUAAGCCUCAGAGCUCAUUAGUAAGGAUAAUAGGGAUAUCUUUGCUGGAGUUUUAUUCAGAUGAUUCACUACCCUGUACUCACUUAGCUUGAUAAACUUGAGGAACUCACACGCUUUGUCAUUCGAUACUCCUUCAGGUAAGGCCACUUCGAUAUCUUCUUCUCUGUGCUCUAGAACCUUUUCUUUGCCUUUGGCUGUCCCAGAUGGACCCCUCUCUACCUCUGGCGGAACAUAGAUACGCCCAGUCCUAGUAAUUCUACUAUUUCCUGCUAUGUUUGUAACCAUAGAAGGAUUCAUAGUCGGCUCCUCUUUGUAGAUCCAAGGAACUGCCUUGUCAGAUUCAUAAGGAAACGGACUUCCUUCACUUGUUAUUACAGGCUCCAUCUGCCGAAUGAACGGCUCCCACUAACGUUGAGAAAAAUAUGUUUGAACACCCCCGGGUGGAUUUAUAACGGGUUCAUACGUGCGUAUGAAUAUAGAUGUCUCUUCUUGGCCCUUCUUUAUGACAUUUAUCUCGGGGUAUGAAGAACUUCCCUCUAUGGCAAUCAAUUUCAAGUCCAUCAUUUUUUGAAGAAGUGCCCUGAAAUCCUGACAAUCUUCCAAACUGUGGCCCACACAUUCGUGCAUCUCGCAACUCUCCGUCUCAUUAAUGUGUGUCUCAUAUGUAAUUACUUCAACCAAACCUUGCCUGCACAUUUCCCAUAAGAUGAACCCCAUGGGCAUCUUCACAUCCUCAACUUUGCCGAUGAUUGCGACAUCUUCCCUUGCCUCUAUAGCAUUUACUUCCUGAUUCUCAUGGUUGGGUAGAGGAUUUCCUGUGAUGUUGGGUCUGGUUUCUCUAAAAUCAAUUCGCUUGGCAUUGAUGAGAUCUUGAACCUUAAAUUUAAAGGCCCUACAGUCUUCCACCAGAUGCCCUGGUGCUCCAGAAUGAUAAGAACAAGUGACGUUUUUAUUAUACCAUGGUCCAGGGUUUUCAGGGAUUCUUCCUGGUACAGGUGUAAUCAUCCCUUGCCUUCGAAGAUAGGCAAAAAGGUUUGUGUAUGUCAUCGGAAUCCAGUCAAACACAGGUGCUCUCCUCUCCUGUUGGUAGUAGUUAUUAUUUCUUGGUCGUUGUGUAUAGCCUUGUCUUGGCUGGUAAGCAUUAUUAUUUUGAUUUGGUGGGUUAUGGAUUGGUGUUUGGUUUUGUGUUGGGUUGUGAUUUUGUACAAACCGAGAGGGUGCACGAUAAUUAUUUUGGUUAUUGUGUUGGGGUUGGAACCUCUUUGGUUCCACAGCAAUGAAAUGGGUCUCUACGUCUGUCUUCUUCAUGAAGGCAGACUUUCAUGAAGGCAGGCUUCUUUACGGAACCUGAACCUUCUUCAGCAAUCUUUCCACUCUUGAUUCCACCUUCCAACUUUUCUCCUACUUUAAUAAGAGCAUUAAAGUUGGGCGUCACGUUCCCUAUGAGUCGCUCAUAAUAGGGGCAUUGCAGGGUAUCUAUGAAGAUCGACAAUUGUUCCUCUUCAUCCAACCGCAGGAGGACCUGGGAUGCUAAUCCCCACCACCUCUGAACAUUUUCCCCCAGACUUUCUGAUGGUUUCUUAGCCAUGUUCUGUAACUGAGUCAUGUCUGGUGCAGCAUCUUCAUUGAAUUUGUACUGUCUGACGAAGGCAUUUGACAGGUCCAAAAAUGUUCUAAUCUGGGUUUUCUCUAGCCAUAUGUACCAGCUCAUAGCAGCCCCCACCAAACUAUCUUGAAAGCAGGGGAUCAAGAGCUUAUCAUUCUCAUGAUACGCUGACAUCUUCCUAGCGUACAUGUGCAGAUGACUUUUAGGGCAAGUUGUCUCGUUAUACUUUUCGAAUUAUGGCACCUUGAACUUGGGUGGAAGUACCACAUCGGGCACUAAACAUAUUUCAAAAGCAUUCUUCAGAUCUGGACAACUGGCUCCUUUGAUAGCCAUCAAUCUCUCUUCAAGUGAGCUUAAUUUCUCCGCUUCUUUCUCUGUGUGUGGUGUAUUACCUCCUGGCGGAGCCCUUUGGGAAUCAUCAUCUAGGGGAGCUUUCUGCUUUUUGUUGGUGUCAUGCCCAUCUUGGGGUUGGCUAGUACCGGCCCCUUGGUUGGGAUUAGAACUUGGAUGAGAUCGUGGUCCGCCUGCUGCCUUCUUUUCUUUCUCGCUUUGGAGGGCUUUCAGGAUAUGAAACAUCUCCACCAUCUGUUCUUUCAUAGUAGCCAAUUCAGUUGUGGUCUCUAGAUUCAGCCAUCUUUCGAGCUCGGAGUCGUGUGUUAUAUGGGUGUUGGUAAGCAAUGCUGACCUAAAAAUAAAUGCAAGUUGUUUUUCAAAAGAAUGAUUUGUAAUAAAUUGUAAAGUGUAUGAGACCAUUUAGAUUAAUGUGUGGUCGAUGAAGUCUUUUAGAGUGAAUAAGUUUUUCAGUUCAGGAUUGCCUCUUUAAUUCUACCAGCAUAAAGUCCAUUGUAAAGUUAAAACAACCCCGUAUACUAAUAACUAAGGAGCGUAGUCUCUUAGCUCAUCUACGGUUGACAACAGUCUUUAGAAUAUUGGAAGACCAAGUUUGUGUCUUUUGAAUGGUUCGAAAUCUUUUUAAAUUCUUCUUCUUUUGCCUUUUUCUAUCAAUUACUUUUGUGAGUUUAACUUGGCUGAGAGAGAACAUUGCGGAAAAAAAAGAUACCAUUUAUUAAUAUAAAUCGAAAUGUUAUUUGAGGAAGGGGAAUCACAUACAUCGAUUUCCUCCAUUCCCUGAUUUAUUCCUAACAAAAAACUAAUAAUGAUAAAUGACAAAGAAGAAAAAGAAGUAAACUACAUAGACUAACUAGAAUCCACCAUUGCAUUCUAUCCUCCAACACCUGAGCUUCUUGGCAACCCGAGUGUAGCUAUCGAAAAGGGCCUUCAUCGCUGGACGUAUCUCUGUGUCCGGGUACAUGUGAAAUUCCUGUUGGGCCUCUUCGAAUGUUACCAACCAACCAUCAGCGAAGUUCCCAAUUCCCUCAAUGAUAUUGUGGCAAUUUUCUUUCCAUUGUCCCUUUUGCCUCUCGCAUUCUUCAAAACUAUCCCGCCAAUUGUAUUCCCACAAUUCCUGAUUUUCCUUUAAAAACUUGCAUGAUUCCUUCAACCCCAUCAAUUGAUCCAUCAGUUGGGCUUCCCGGGCAAGGGCUUCUUCUUACAUCUGCUCUAAUGACUUUUUAUAGUCAUCCUCUUUCGUGUGGGACUAAUCCAAGGCCUUCUGAUAAUCUCUAAUAAUGAUUGUGGCCUGCUCCAACUCUGUUCUAGUUAUCCUCUCUGCCGCCGUUUUAAUCCUCGAGACUUGCCCCCUAGCUUCAAGUCUCUCCCUCAGAUCUAUUAUUUCCUCUUCCAUUGCCCGGUUCUGCCUCAUUAGGGCGACUUUACCAGACCUCAAGCACAUGUCGGCAUAGUCUCUUUCAAGGCUCUUGAUCUCUUCCCUAAGUGCAGAAGCAAUGUUGCCCGACUUUUCGAGUGCUAUGUCUUUCAUCUCGUUCUGAUCCCUGGACUCUUGAAGUCGGGCUUCUAGCAAUUUGACAUUUGCCUUUAGUACAACCUCCUCUGGAGUGGGGCCUCCCUUGACUUGCGGUAUGACUAGCGAAGGUGUGUUAACGCCCUUCAUCCUUUCAGCCCUCCAAGAUCUAUACUCGUCAGAAUAGAAGGUUCUAUGUUCACCUAACUCUUUUUGCCCAUGCAGAUGGAUGUCCUUAAGGGCUUUUCUUAUGGAUUAGACUACCUUUGAAGAUGCUCUCGAGUUGUUUAUCAGAUAUAGGAGUAACUCCCCACUUCAGUUGGCCAAGGACUAAGGCAGGUUUAAAGGAGAUACACCCUAUAGACCCCAUCAGUACUAGAUUAUGGAACUCGCCACAUGAAUACAUGAGCUGUUGAUGUCGGUCAUAGAGGCAACACUUCUCAGGAAAAUUCCUUGGAGUGACCUCUUCAAAUAACUCCCUCCAUUUGAUAAGCGGCAUAUCCUCGACAUAAGUAUNNNNNNNNNNNNNNNNNNNNNNNNNNNNNNNNNNNNNNNNNNNNNNNNNNNNNNNNNNNNNNNNNNNNNNNNNNNNNNNNNNNNNNNNNNNNNNNNNNNNUUAGGAAAUGCCACUUCAGCCCGUUUACCCCUCCUUGCUUGGUGAAGUCUGAAGCUUAUGGACGAACACCGAGAAGAUCUCUUGUGCCACCUUCAUUCGCAACUUGCCCCCCUAUGAACUGAUAGAGCCUCAGUCUACCAUCCAUUGGAAAAUCCAGAAGAGCCUCGUACUCUUCAAUGGUUGGAGCAGCAUCAAGGUUAGGAAAUUNNNNNNNNNNNNNNNNNNNNNNNNNNNNNNNNNNNNNNNNNNNNNNNNNNNNNNNNNNNNNNNNNNNNNNNNNNNNNNNNNNNNNNNNNNNNNNNNNNNNUUUGCUCGGCCAAGAAACUCACAUUAGUCAUUGAUAGGUCCAAUUUUGUUGAUUUUUUAGAUACCGAUAUGCUGCUAGAAUUAUUUGCGGUUGUCAUUUUUUUUUAUAAAAUUGGGGAAAUGGCCUCUCUUUUAAUGUAAAUGCACCUAUUACAUAAAAAAACACAAAAUCAUUAAAAUGCUUAUGUAUAAAAUAUGAUUGACGCAUGAAAUAUGAUUGACGCAUGAAAUAUGAUUGAUGAAAUAUGAUUAAUGAAAUUUGUUGAUGAAACAUGGUUGAUGAAUGAAUGCUUGUGAAUUCUUUUUCGAGAUGCACGACCCUUUUUUUGAGAUAUUUUAGUCUUAAUUAUGAUUAAUAUGUUAAAAUAUAUAGUUUUUUUUUUUAAAGAAAAUAGAAAAAAUAUUUUGUUUAGGUUAACUUUGGGCAAUGAAUGGAUGCCUUAUUUAUUUUUUUAGUUAAUGAUAUGAUGAUAUAUAAAAUUCUUUUUAGUAGUGUGAAGAUAAGAAAAAAAAAUUCAAUAACGUAAAGAUGUGUGGAAAAAAAGAAUAAAACAAAAACACACAAUCAUUUAUCACUAUGUUACAAUACACAUGUUUAUAAAUCACAAAUUCAUGCAAGCACAAUAUCCUAAAGUAUGGUUCUAACACACAGUGGAUGCUCUUAGGCAAGUUCUAGACUCCUUAUAAGGUGUUCUCUCCAAAGAGAAACUCAAAUAUUAUAAUGUUAGAAACAAGAGACCAGCUCGAGCGGCUAACUCAUAAUAAGAGGUGACAAUAUGAGUGGUCCACAUCACCAACACUUAGAAGCGGCAAAAACCACGACCAGUGAGGCUAAUGUCCUUUCUAUCCAAAAAAAAGUAUCACUAAUACCCUGGUGUAGGACAUAUGUGUGUGCCUAAAAUAUGUGUGCAUUACAUCAUAUAGCAACAAGAACGAUACAAAUAAUGAUUCACCACAUGCAAUUACGCAAUUUCUAUAAUUAAUUAUUUCAGUGUGCAACAUAUAUGUAUACGUACAACUAAUAGUUAAUAAGACAAUUAAUAUUCAUACGUAUAAUUAAAACUAAUUAUAUAAUUCAUAUUUAUAACCUACAACUAUUAGUUAAGCAUGCAAUUCUCAUAUUUCUAUAUACACUUAGUAAUUAACAUGCAAUUUUCAUUUUUUAUAUAUAAUUAAAAUAAAUCAUAAAACUCAUAUUUAAUAAUUAAACAUGCACUUUUCUUAUUUAUACAUACAAUUAACAUUAAGCAUAUAACUCAUAUUUAUGCAUAAGAUUAAUAAUUAAGCAUGCAAUUCUUGUUGAGAUACGAUUAUAAUUAAACAUGUAAUUUUUAUUUAUACAACUAUAAUUAAAUCUGCCAUAUUAUUAAACAUAAAUUUUAUUAGCAUACAAUUAUAAUUAAACAUAUAAUAUUUAUUAAGCAUGUAAUUUUUAUAUUUAUAACACAUAACUAAGAAUUAAGCAUACAAUUUUUAUAUUUUUACGUACAAUUAAUAAUUAAACAUGCAAUUUUCAUACAUAUAAAUAAUAAUUAAAUAUGCAAUAUCAUAUUUGUACAUACGAUUAAAAUUAAGCAUAUAAUUCAUAUUUAUACAUAUAAUUAAUAAUUAAACAUACAAUUUUCAUAUUUAUACAUAUAAUUAAUAUUUAAACAUGCAAUUUCAUAUUUAUACAUACAAUUAAAAUUAAGCAUAUAAUUCAUAUUUAUACAUAUAAUUAAUAAUUAAGCAUGCAAUAUUAUUGGAAAUUAACUGAUCAACAAAAAAAAUAUACUAAUAAUAAUGAUAAAUAAAUAGUCACAUAUUUUAUUGAUUAUGGGCCGGACUCUCUCAAAAAAGUCCCCGGUAGAGUCGUCAGUUGUCGCGCCCCUCUUUUCGGCUGCACGACUUUGCUUAGAGUCGCCACUACAUAUUAUAGUAAAAAAUGUAGAAAAAUCUUUUAAGCCCAAUUACCCUGGGCUUUUUUAUUUUUGAUAUCCAGGUUCGGGAGUCGGUUACAAGGGAGGGAAGGUAUUAGCANNNNNNNNNNNNNNNNNNNNNNNNNNNNNNNNNNNNNNNNNNNNNNNNNNNNNNNNNNNNNNNNNNNNNNNNNNNNNNNNNNNNNNNNNNNNNNNNNNNNGUACCCUUCAUUAAAAUGUAUGACUUUAGAGUCGCCACUACAUUUAUUUUUAUUAUUGAGCCUGACAAUAUUGACUUUGGUCCUACGUACCUCUAUUAAGGGGAUGAAGGCUUACCUAGUUCUUUAGGUAGAAAAUGGUUUAUUGGUUUAGUGUAUUUUAAUUAAAGAAAAUAUUUUUUUAAUCAAAAAUAUGUAUUUUGAAAGUUUUGUUUAUUAUUGAAAAUAAAGUUUUUAUUUGGUUAUUUAAAAAUAGAAUAAAUUGAUUUUGAGAUUUAAUCGAUUGAAAAGAAGUGGCGUAACGCGACCAUUCGAAGAUGAUUUGAGAAGAAAGAAACCUUCAGGGCGACCUUCUCUCCAUCUUUGAUUAAAUCUCAAAAAUAAUUUACUCUUUUUGAACUAUUAUAUUAUUAUUAUUGUUUUAUGCCAAGAAACAUAAUGAACGUUCAAAAUUUUAUUAAUUACAACAAAAAUAAUCCUCAUAAGUUGUCAAUUGACAGGUAUAUAAAAAUAAAUUUAGUUUUUCUAUUUUGACUAUAUUAGAAUGGGCCUUAUUAAAUCAAAUAAAUUUUAUUAAUAAUUAUUAAUCAGUAAUAGUAUUUGAUGAUAUAACAUAAAUUAUUUAUAAAAUGAUAAAGUUUGAUACAAUUAUAAUGACCAUUUAAUCAAAAUAACAUAGACUUUCUUCACAUUUAAUGUUUGUUCCCAAAAAAGAAAUAAAAAUAAUUACACUGUUAUUUAAUUUUUUAUGCAAUAUUCUUUACCCAAAACCAAAAUCAUAUACUUCAUAAAUAUUAAAGCAUAAAUAAUAAAAAUGGAAUUGAAUGCAAUUAAAUGCAAACCUGGUUGGAAAGGGGACACACGUGGCAGACUGUGAUUGGGACGCGUUGGAGGUGAAGGAGCGCCUUGACACGUGUCAAACGCGUUUGGCUGGAAGGGCGGAUACAUGAUACACAGCGUAGACUUGCGCGCGCGUGAUUCCUUCCUCCCACGGGAUGCAGAAUCGAGUGUGGUUGGGUGUAGCGUUGCCAGACUACGUUUCGCUCCUUGAUUGGUGGAUCUCCAGUCAACGGGAAAAGAAGAUCUGGUACGUUGAUCACACGACCACUGUUUGAGCAAUGGAUGAGUGCACACUAGGACUGCGUAAACUUGACCGCACUGGAUUAUUCUGCCUUUAGAAUUUUCCUCUCUCUCACGCAGACACUGUUUCUUAUGCAGUGUUCUAAUUAAAAUAUUUGGGACCCUUUAACCUCUCACAAACCCACCUAUUUAUAAUAAAAUGGCUAAACCCUAAUCCCUAAAAUCUUGUUAACUGAACCCUAAUUUUGUUGGUCCACUAUCACUAUUUUUAAGGGGAUUUAACUCACCAACUAAGUCAGAUUUUGACUUAGUAUUUACCCAUUAUUUUGAAAAAUCUAAUUAAAACAUAAUUAAAUUAUAUUUUAGUUACUUUUAUAUUCUAUAAAUUCCGAAAAAAUAAAUAAAUAAUUAUCUGAGUAUGCUUUAAUUUUAUUAUAUUUUCUACAAAAUAAAAUAUAAAAAAAAUUAUUUUUCCGCUUAUUUGGUAUUUAAAAGUGAUUUUUAAGAACAUUUCUCUUAUCUCUAUUUUAAAAUUCGAAUUUAAUUACAAAAAUAACAUAAAAAAUAUUCUUAAUUAUUCUUUACUUAUUUUAUAAAAAAAUGAAUAAAAUAAUGUCUAAGAUUAUUUUUAUCCCAUUUUCUUAGAAAAAUGAUUAUGAGCUUUUUAGUGUCAAUUUUAAUUUAAUUAUUUUUAGUUAAUUUUAUUAUUUUGAAUUUUGGGUUAACCCAACCACUUAGAUUUAGGGACCUUAUUAACCCUAAUUUAAAAUUAUCACUCAUUAUUUUUCCCCCAUACAUGAUUGUAAUUAUUAUUUAUUAAUUGAAAUUAAGUAUAUAAAAAAUGUAUUAUUUUCAAUUUAAACAUUCUGGGCUUUUUUUGGGCCGGACAAAAUUUGAGUGUUCACACAUAAAGAUUUUGCUUUUUCCUCAUUAACAAUGUGAUGUUAGACAUUGUCUUCUACAUAUUGCCGAAUGAAACCACAAACUUGUUGAUGUUGCAAAUUCUUCACAAAUAAUAAAUCUUUCAUUUUUCCUUUCCACAAGUGAUAGUUAGUACCAUUCAAACAUAUCAUUCUAUAUGUAAUUUUCCUCCACCAUUCAAGCAAGUCAAAUAAUCUCAAACUCCAAAGAGCUCUAAUGUCACUCUAAUGGGAAAUUAAACACAAUAAUAAUAAAAACUCUAACAGAGUAUAUGCAGCGGAUAAUAAUUUCCCCAACUUGCUAGAAUCUAUGAGAAACAAUAACAAAUAAUGCACUAACUAAGAACACACAAGAGAUACUAGAAUUUUAACGUGGUAAACCUUCCCAAUGUGAGAAGUAAAAACCACGGGCACAAGCUAGUCAAUCAAGCUCUACUAUGAUCAAAAUAGAAAUACAAGAGUGUCUUCAAAAUACAGCACAAAACGUACUUAACAAUAUAUCAUACAAUAGAGCAAUAAGCUUGAAAAUGAUAACACAAAGUUGCAGAAAAAACAGCCAUUGGUUUGGCUCGUUUUCUACCACCUCGGACGUCUUCUUACCGAUCCAACCGUUCAUAAUGAAUUACUAUUAGUUGUGAACCUGCUAUCCAAAUUUCAGCCUAAUCCAACGGUGAACCAAGACGCAAUCGCAAAUCUCCCGCAACUGCUCUGAGUUCCUACGGGUUGAGUUCUUUCAACUUCUCUCUCACUUUUCUAUUGCCUCUUUUUUGCAUAAAUUAAUUUCUCGGAUUACCUCAUCUAGCCCAUUAGAUUAAGUGGGACAACUGGGCUUUGUCCAACUGGGUCUUUCUCCACAUAGGAAGGGAGCCCAAACCCAACAUACGCAAAAGCAGCCAAGUCUAACCAACCUCCAUUAGUGAUGACAACUAAGAAAUAGUGUUCAUGACCACGACGAUCCAUUGAUGGUCACUUGGUGGCUCAAUAACUAGAGGGUUCAAAUACUCUUCAUGGAUCAAGGCAGUCUAUUCAAUGUCAUGUUCCAUGACCAUUUUGAAAAUCUUUCAUUGGAUGAUAUACUACCCAGUGUUGUGAAACCCGAGCCGGACGUCAAACCGGCAGAGGUCCAGUAUUAGGUUUAACCGGUUUAAACGGUUAAACCGUCCGGUCUGAACGAGUGAUUUCGUACAUAAUUAAUAAUUUUUAUUUAUAAAUAUAUAGUUAUAUAUAAAUGUAAAACUUUAUAUAAUUAAUAAUUAUGUAUAAUUAUAUGAAAUAAUACCUCUUUAUCUUUUUUUGGACCGUACUAAAACAAAAUAUUAGAACAUUGUCCCAUUUUUUUUUAUUUUUAAGUGAGCCGUCCGGUUUACUUCCCGGGUUAAUCCGGUUUAACCGGGUUUAACAUGGUCGGACCGGAUUUUUUCCGGUUCAAAGCGGUCCAACUCUCAUUCGGUUAAGACGGCAAACCAGAGCCGUUUUCAAGUCCGGUCAGCGGUCAGACCGGUCGGACCGUCCGGUCCGGUCCGGUUUCAACAACACUGAUACUACCGUAUGAGAGUCAACCUGUUGGAUUCACCAAUGAGGGAAUAAGCUACAAGAGGAUAUGUGGAAAUAUGGCUAACAAUGGGUGAAAACUCACUAUCCAUAACAACCACAACCAAAUUUAUGGUCAUAGACCCCACAUUUGGCAAUGAAAUUAUUGUCUCAUGACCUCAGCAUAUGCAUACCCAGGAGGCUAACAACAAGCCGCCCAGAGCUGUUAUCAAAACAACCUUAGUCAAUAGAAGCCUAAACAUCAAAAAUCAAGACAUGCGAAAAAGAUUUGGAAAUGAAAAUUAGUCUUCGAUGGUAUGAUGCUUAGUGAUUUUGGAAACGAGAAUUGGUCUACAUUUGACCAUCUGCUUGUUUCUAAAUUUUGUUUGCUUAUCCAUCUUACACAUAUUGAAGCAUAACCUUAAAGUCUGGUCAUAUAAAAGUGGAUGACAAACUCAUAAAAUAUAUCAUUAUGUACAUCUUAAUUCUAAGGAUGCACAACAAUGGCCAACCAAACAUUCUCGCUUUGAAGUACAUGUAUGCAAUCAAAUAUGAAUUUCUCAUUGAAUGGACACAAGUGAUUUUGGAACAUAUGAUGUAAAGGAGAAAUAUAGAAAAUGCUAGCUUACCGUACUCCAUUUUUAUUUACCGCAUCAUUGAUUAGUUUGGGACAAAUGUAAUUGGACGGGUCAGUUUCCAGACAUCUUACAAAACAAAGAACUUGGAUUAUGGAACCUUAAAGUCUU